AUAAAAAUAGCAGCUUUUAUUAAUUUAUAAAGAAAAUAAAUAACCUUUUAUAGGGAUCAACUUGCAUUAUGAUAAAUUAUGUACUGAGAUAUGUGAGUUGAUUUGUUAAACAUUAUGGUCUAUGCGACGAAGUGCGUCGUGGUCAGUUUAAAUGAUCUUUUGGAUAGCAGUAAGUUUGUUUCUAUUUAGUCUUAAAAACUUGGAUACAUAGUAGAGCGAAGAAAAUAAAUUCAAGCCAAAAAAAGAGGUCAUAUUUAGUGCUAGUCUUUCAACCCACUAUUUACAUUAGUUACACGACCAAUAUGUUUACCGGCUAACAAAAAUAUAAAUGUACAUGCCAGUAAGUCACACAAAGUGAGCUACAUUGUCCAUAUUUUCUGCAAUAUUAGAAAGAAAAGGACGUCAGUAACGGCAAGUAGCAAGGUAUCUGGUAGCUUAAAAAUAUAGCGGUUGUUCUUUGCAUUACCUGUCAAACACAAGCUAGCGACCUUCAAACACGUAUGUACAUAGCAUGAGAAAGCGUAUAUACAGCCAUUUUAGAGAGUUAUAACACCCUGCGAACAAAACAGAUGUAAGAUCUACAAUGGUACCUUUUUUCGUCAACCAAAAAAUAUUUUAUCAGUAAACCACAAUUUAUAUUGAAAAACAUGUUGCAUAAUCUUAGUCAGCUAUACCAAUACAAGGGAAAUAAAAGUGCAAGGUAGAAAGUAUAAAUCAAUUCAGACAAAAGAAUGUCUUAAAAAACAUGUACUGAUAAAGUAGUACUACUUUAUAAGUAAUUUUUUAUCAGGAAUAAAAAGUGUAACAAUAGUAUAGUAAAUUCCAUAAGCAGUGAUGAGAGAAAGAAGAAGAAAACGAGAAAGAUUGCUGAAGAAGAAAUCGAUGAAGAAGAAAUUCAGCAGUCAAUUCGCUGAAGAAAAAAUUCAGUAGUCAAUUCGCUGAAGAAGAAAUUAAGCAGUCGAAGAAGAAAUUCAGAAGAAAAAACAUACUGAAGUUGACUCCUUAUUCAUGUCCACGAAACUUUGGGAGAAAAAGAGAGUUGAUAUUAGAGGAAGAGGUCCACAAAACUUUGGGAGAAUGAGAUGUAUCAAAGUAGAGAACGAAAGAAAAAAGUAUAAUUGAUUAGCGUAUUUAGUGGCUUAGGGCUAGGAGUAAACCUAUCAUAGGAACUUAGAGAAUUCUUUUGUAGGCAUGAACACUGGAACAUUACUGAUGUUUAAUGAAAGGUAGUGCACUAGAAAUUUAGCUAACAAUGGGUUGUCAACAUUAUCAACACAACUAUUAAUUUGUCUAUCUUUUCUUUUUGGAUUGCCUGCGGGAAGGCGUUCUUUGAAGAUGAUGAAUGUGAGUGAAUUAGAGAUUAUGAAUGAAUAUAGAAUGGAAUGAAAUAUGCAGUAGUUUUUUUUAAUUUAAAGUUUUCUUUGAGUUGUUUGUGAUUCAACUAUAAUCUGCUACUCCUACAUCAGAAAUCAAAGAAUUUAUUCUUGAACAUGAAUAACAAGUUCCUAAAAGUUUAUCAUCCGUAAGUAUGGGAAAAAGUAAUGAAAAAGUAGAGAUAAAGUUUAUUAACCUUCAUUUUUC
rnacentral:lncRNA from 1 species